UCAGUUCAAACUGCUGCGAUAAAGUGUCAUGGACCACAGAGACUGCAAUAAAGUGUCACGAUUCAGGAGGCAGGAAGCCCAGGCAUGGUGACCCUAUGGUCAGUUCUGGAAUUAUGCUGGAAUAUGAAAAAGGCGGAGAAUUAAAGACCAAAUCCAUAGAUUUACUUGAGCUCAGUCCUAGUACUGAUGUCAACACCCUAGUAGGAGAGAUCCAGAAAGUGGAGCCUCUGAUCACAGCAUCUCGGACAAAGCAAGUCAGACUCCUAGUGCAGAGGCUUCAGGAGAAACUCCGGCAGCAUUGCGACCACAACUUCUACCUGUUUAAGGUUCUCAGAGCACACAUAUUGCCCCUGACCAACGUGGCACUCAACAAAGCAG
rnacentral:lncRNA from 1 species